CUCCAGGAGGCCUCAGCUCUCAGACUGGAAGUGCUGUGUCUUCCUGUUGCUGGCGGCAGGAGCAGUAGGAAUAAGGUGUUAGGUUAGAAAGGAGCAAAAGCUGACUUGAAGCAAGAAAGAGCUAACGUGGGUAAACUCACUAAUUAAUAUCUGGGUUCCCUUGGUUGGAGAACCGAGUUUCAUUUUCUUACAAACGCUGGGCAGUCAGAUGCCCUACCCGAUGUCUUUUAACCCACAACAAAUGCAGAAUGCUUGAAGCUGGACCAAAUUUGGGGUUAUCUCCAUUUGCCUGGGCCUUUAAUAACCAGUCAAUUCUGUUCAAACUUGGGCCACACCCCUGGUAAAAAUGUGCUUGUGCAGACAAACUGGAUAUUUUCAAAUACUUCUGGUUUAACAGGUAGUUUCUAAUCUGACUAUUGAAUGCUGGUGUGACUGGGAGGAACAGUGCGGUGUUUGCAACUCAUCUCCGGUGCGGCAGCAAUUCUGAGAUGCACCUGCAGGAUAUGUUUUAUUGAUUUUGAGAGAAAGGAAGAGAGACAUCAAUGUGAGAGAGAAGCAUCGAUUGGUUGCCUCCUGUAGUGCCCUGACUGGAGAUUGAACAUGCAACAUAGGGAAUCAGAAGAGAAUGAAACAUAUGAAGACCCUGCAGAGAACAGCAUACUGCCUGAGGGUCCCAGAAUGCUGCAAAGUGGAACCUUUUGUUAGGGGAUGCAGAUUUCUCAGAGUUUUUAACUUACUAAAGGACAUUGUGAUUUCCAAAAGCAAACUAUUUGGCCAGAAAGCACUUUUCCCUUCAGACAUCAAACGGACCUAGACAGUCAU